GUAUCUUGACAAGUUUGCACAAAAUGAGGAGCAUUCAGAAGUCAUUGAGGAGACUGACAGUUUCCAGCUUAGGAGGAAGAAGUCAGACAAAGCUCAUGGAUUUGUGGAUAUAUCCAUCCGGAUCUGCAAGCAAGAAGAUGAUCAUGGUCGGUUUUCAGGUAAACAGAAAUUUCUGGUUUACACUGAAAGAAUCUGUCUGAUUUGUGCCAUCUGAGAUGCUGAUCAAAACACUUUCACAGUAGGAGCGUAGUCAACACAUACAUUUUCCAAAUCUUCCGCACAGCACACUAGAAUGGCAGUCAGAACUAAAAUAACAAUAAUGCAGGGAAGUUGGUGUUGUUUUGUUCGUCGAAAAAAUCAGUGUUUUUCUGGUUAAUAACAAAUAUGUUGCAAAAAGUUCAGUACGUGACCUAACAUCAUAGCUUCAUAGCAAUAAGAAAAGUAUACGGUGUAUCUUUAUCGGCAAAUCUAUCCACUACUUGUAAGGAAAUGACCAACACAUUUUUUGGAUGGAAAAGCACAACGUGCUUGAUCCAUUGAUAGGCUUUAGAAUGUACAGAGAAUGGGCAGCAUUUACUUGUUCUUCAAAACAUAACGGAGUUAGCAGAACAACAAGUGAAAGUCAGCAUGCUUGGUAGAGUGUGCUGCCAUGAUAGUCAUAAGAUGUACUGUCUGAUUCUUACCAUCAAAAGGGUAAAGGGUACGUUUAAAUAUAUAGCACAUGAAUUAAGAUGAGCUUCAAAACUACAAUAUCAUAAUUACUUUAACCUAUAUCAUCUUCUGUUGAUUUGCAGGAUUACCUGAAGGAUUGAAGAACUCCGAUCAGGUCGGCAUCACAUUGGCAAUAGAAGACGGACCAGUUUAUAAUUAUCCACCGCCACCCUACAACCAUUAUAGGGGCGACAGAGAAGAUGCUGAUCACC
rnacentral:lncRNA from 1 species